rnacentral:piRNA from 1 species
UUUUACAUUUUACAUUUUUCA